rnacentral:rRNA from 1 species
GACGAACGCUGGCGGCGUGCUUAACACAUGCAAGUCGAACGGAAAGGCCCUGCUUUUGUGGGGUGCUCGAGUGGCGAACGGGUGAGUAACACGUGAGUAACCUGCCCUUGACUUUGGGAUAACUUCAGGAAACUGGGGCUAAUACCGGAUAGGAGCUCCUGCUGCAUGGUGGGGGUUGGAAAGUUUCGGCGGUUGGGGAUGGACUCGCGGCGUAUGAGCUUGUUGGUGGGGUAGUGGCUUACCAAGGCUUUGACGGGUAGCCGGCCUGAGAGGGUGACCGGCGACAUCGGGACUGCGCUACCGUCCAGACUCCUGCGGUGAGCAGCAGUGCCCAAUAUAGCACGAUGGGAGGAAGGCGGAUGCAGCAACGCCGCGUGCGGGCAGUCGGCCAUCGGGUUGUAGACUGGCUUCGCAGGGUAUGAAGCGUGAAAGGCGGUAAUGGCAAGCGAAGCGCCGGCUAACCACGUG